ACUACACAUGAUUGCUAGCAAUUGUGAAAUCGACUACCUGUAAAUAUUGACAUUGAUCACUGGCAUGAUUAUUGGUGUAUAAUCCACAAGACAGAAUCGGUUAAAAAUAAAUAAAGGAGUAAUGGCCACAGCGGAGACCAAUCAGAAAAUCAUUAUGUGUUUAGGUGGAGCCUUUAAUCCCCCGCACAGUAGACAUAUUAUGGCCAUGUUAUUAGGGAAACAGUGGCUCGAAUCAAAUACCAACUUCCAAGUUGUGGCCGGAAGACUGGCUGUAGCGCCAGAUGGAUAUGUAAAAGCUAAAACAAAGAAAACAGGAGCCAAGUGUAUGAAAGCACAACACAGGAUAAAACUUUGCGAACUAGCUUGUUGCGAACACAGGGAUUGGUUAGCGCCAUAUCACCGACCAGUUGGUUCCGCUGGGGAAUGUGGGGAAAAAACUAGACUCGAAAUGUUGAAAGAAUCGGACAAUUCAGUAGAUCUACAUGUGGCUGUUAUAGUUGGAGCAGAUAGAGCAAUGAAUAAAUCUGGACAUGCUAAAUGGCACAAGGAGUUCAAACAUAUAACUGUGUGUAUAGGGAGGAAGGGAGAAACAGCCAGAAUUCUGGAGAAAUAUGAAAAAGAUAAAGAUUCGGGCAAUAUAAAACAUAAACAGUUUUUCCUUAUACCAGAUGAACUUGACAAUGUUAGUUCUACAGCAAUAAGACAAGUUCUUGCUAAGAUGGAAGGCUCUGGAAAUGAUAAGAAACAAGUGUUGGAUACAUUAAUAAACGAUGGGUGGCUUCUUGAGAGCCAGGUGCUAUAUAUAUUAGGAAAUGAAGCUGAUCUUUAUUUUUAAUUUUUUCUCUUAAAAAAUUGUAUUCGUUAUUUUUGUUUAAAGUCCGCAGACCUAUGUGGAAUAUAUUUUUCGGACAAAAUAGGAAUUGGUAUUUGCUCCUAUAACGUAUUUUACGGCUUGAAUGAUACUUGUAUAAGAUACUUUUGAUUGUUACCUCGUUUCGAGAGGGAAUAUGUUUUCAGUUUGUGAAACAAUUCUUGACUAUGCGGUAUGGGCUUUGCUCAUCGUUGAAGGCCAUACGGUAACCUAUAGUUGUUAAUUUCAGUGUCAUUUUGUCUGUUGUGGAGAGUUGUCUCAUAUUGGAGUAAAUUGCAUCAAAGUCAAAUGAAAUUGUGUAAAUAUAUGAAUAAUUAAAAACGGCGAAAAGAUG